AAUGAAGUGCCUGAUUAAAGGAUUAUCUUGAUAGGGUAAAUAAAGUAAUACAAUUACCUUCAUUA
rnacentral:tRNA from 1 species